GACGAACGCUGGCGGCGUGCUUAACACAUGCAAGUCGAACGGAAAGGCCCUGCUUGCAGGGUACUCGAGUGGCGAACGGGUGAGUAACACGUGGGUGAUCUGCCCUGCACUUCGGGAUAAGCUUGGGAAACUGGGUCUAAUACCGGAUAGGAACCAUCUUUAGUGUGGUGGUUGGAAAGUUUUUUCGGUGUAGGAUGAGCUCGCGGCCUAUCAGCUUGUUGGUGGGGUAAUGGCCUACCAAGGCGGCGACGGGUAGCCGGCCUGAGAGGGUGUACGGCCACAUUGGGACUGAGAUACGGCCCAGACUCCUACGGGAGGCAGCAGUGGGGAAUAUUGCACAAUGGGCGCAAGCCUGAUGCAGCGACGCCGCGUGGGGGAUGAAGGCCUUCGGGUUGUAAACUCCUUUCGCUAGGGACGAAGCUUUGUUGUGACGGUACCUAGAUAAGAUGCACCGGCUAACUACGUG
rnacentral:rRNA from 1 species